rnacentral:lncRNA from 1 species
AAUCAAGAUUGAAGUGCUUUAUUGACUUACUAACACCACAUAAUUAAAGUGAUCAGUGAACUAUCCACUUGGGAUCAAUACCAGUACAGUACAACAGGUAAAUCACAAUAUUAGACUCUUGUAAAUUAUUAACAAACAAGAAUUUCUACAUACCUUUCUAAAACCCCCAGAAGUGACAAAUCCACCCAUAACCACCAGCACACUCACCCGUCCUGGGCAUGGGGUUUCCCUGACAUGCUGGUCUCUGCAGCCUGGGACUACAAUAUUUUGCUGGACUAUCUCCAGCAUUUCCCCAUCUUUCUUGUACUGGAGAGCCCAGCACUGACUCAUCACCCAGAUGUGCCUCAUCAGGGCUGAGCAAAGGAGCAGGACUUCCACUCUUGACCUGCUGGCAAUGCUCUGCCUGGUGCGCCCCAGGAGGCUGUUGGCUUUCUUCAAAGAAAGAAUAACAAUGAAGAAUUUUAGUGAUGUUUAAACAGUUCUGGUGGGUUUGGACCACACUAAAAGCUGUCCCCAGCUAAAAGUUGCUCCUAAGAAUCUAUAAACAAAUGUACAAAAUUUUUCAGAGUGUUAGUCUGCACUGCAGUGUAUGCCACUCCAAGAAAGCCGCAGAGGGACUUUCUGUAAGAGAUGUAGGCAUAGGACAAGGGGUAAUGGCUUUAAACUGAAAGACACUGCCCCAUACCUGGAAGUGCUCAAAGCCAGGUUGGAUGGGGCUCUGAGCAACUUGGUCUAGUGGAAGGUGUCCCUGCCCAUGGCAGGGGGGGUAAAACUAGAUGUCCUUUAAGGUGUCUUCCAACUCAAUCCACUCUACGAUUCUAUGAUUUUCACUAUUAUUGUUUCCUAUACUAGGAAACCAAGAUUAAUGUAGGCUUGCUUUAAGUGCUGUAGCUACACCCUUUGAUGUCAGUUUUUGCAACUACUUGGCGUUUUAAGCUAAAAUGCUGAAUUUUCAGCCAAUGUUACUGAUGUUCUAACAUAUGAUCCUUUCUGUCAAGUCUGCUGUGGGGUAGAAAUGGCAGAACAGAUGUGAAAACAAGAGGUAGUUUCUUAUCUUUAGUGUGAUAUUCUAAAGAUAGCACAGGAACAUCCUUAAUUUGGUGCCUUUAGUGGUGACUGAGCUAUUUUCUAAAUCUGUGGUAGUGAGCGCAUGUUGUAGCUUCAUGUUUUAGAGUUGUAAUGUCCCGUACUGUUUGUUGCUUUGGUCUUUCUGUCUGUAAGAGCUGAGAGCAGAACUGGCCUUAAUCUGCAAAAUGAUUUGCUAGUCUCAGCCCAUAAUGUGAUAGAUAACCUUGCUGCAUAAACAGCAUGAUUGACAAACACUUCUUGGGAGACUUCUAAUUUAAAAUCAAGAGGUCUGGAAAUAGCAGCUAAAGCAGCUACCGGAUAAAGCCUCAGCCACGCUUCCUCAUGGGCAUUUCUAGGAAACUUUAUCUCCAGAUCUGCUGAAAGGAGUGAAUCAACUGGUACAUCCCAGAACAUUUCUCUCGUUCUUUUGAGUCCUUCAUAAAAGGCACAGGAUGCAAUAAAAGCAGCCUUUCCCUAAAGAGAAUCAAUCAGCCAUCUAACUGCAUUUCCUUUCUCAAACAGAGAUCGGAUGCUGUACAAGAAAGCACAAAAGACAUUACAAAACAGCCUUCACACAAUGCAAGCUUCUUCCUAAUUCUCUAUAAUUAGAAUGACUUUUGAAUGAGAAACAGCCUGUACAAUUUGUGCAGCCUGAUAGACUUCCUGCUCCAAGGAGCUAUGAAAUAAUAACCUAGAGUGGGCUGCAUCAAACCUUCCCUUGCAGAAUUAAUUUUGUCUCCUGGACAUCAACGGGAGUUUUGUGAUGGAUUCAUAGCGUAUGUGGGCAGAGGGGAACACUGUGGUAACAGUUUGCUCUCUGUGUAGCAGAUUAUGAAGCUGACCCACGAAUUUUCACACCUAGACAAUUUCUGGUAGAGCAAGACGUACUCUUUCGGUCUCCAGUGUUUUCCCUUGGCUUCCUUCUCACCCUGGUGACAGCUGCAUAUGCUGCGUUGGUCCUAAAUCCAAAUGCUGACUGAUGCUAGCUGACAAAUCAGGAGACGUUUCCUGCUGAAAUGCUACUCAGUUUGCAUCAAGGUUGGAACCUUUGAAAACUUCACUUGCUGUAUUAUGUUCACACCACCAUUUAUAGGGAAUGGGAGGAAAUUACACUGUUGUUUCAAAACAA